rnacentral:lncRNA from 1 species
AACGUAAAUGGGAUGCAUACUAGUUGAAAAUAAUGUAACACAGAGCAACAGUGAACAAUAAUGUGCAGAGAAGUGAGCAAUAGUAUGUAGAGAGAAGCAGAGAGCAAGGCAGCAAUAUACAAAGAGGUGAGCAGCAGGUAGACCAAAGUAAGCAACACAAUAGAGGCCAGCAGGGUGGUAAAAGUAACCAGGAUCACUCAAUCUUGGCUUGUAGCCAAUUGAGUGAUUAGCAUUCAAAGGAAAGUGAAAGAAGUUGAGUAAAAAACAGUGGGGAGAACCAAAUAUGUUUUUGUAAAAGAGAGAGAGUUCAU